rnacentral:rRNA from 1 species
UACGGGAGGCAGCAGUAGGGAAUAUUGGGCAAUGGAGGCAACUCUGACCCAGCCAUGCCGCGUGCAGGAUGAAGGCGUUAUGCGUUGUAAACUGCUUUUAUAUAGGAAGAAAUAGACCUUGCGAGGUAAUUUGACGGUACUAUAUGAAUAAGCACCGGCUAACUCCGUGCCAGCAGCCGCGGUAAUACGGAGGGUGCAAGCGUUGUCCGGAUUUAUUGGGUUUAAAGGGUGCGUAGGCGGUUUAUUAAGUCAGUGGUGAAAGACGGUCGCUCAACGAUUGCAGUGCCAUUGAUACUGGUAGACUUGAGUGAGAUUGAGGUAGCUGGAAUGGAUAGUGUAGCGGUGAAAUGCAUAGAUAUUAUCCAGAACACCAAUUGCGUAGGCAAGUUACUAAGUCUCAACUGACGCUGAGGCACGAAAGUGUGGGUAUCAAACCAGGAUUAGAUACCCUGGUAGUCCACACUGUAAACGAUGAUAACUAACUGUUGGCUUUCGGGUCAGUGGACAGAGAAAUCGUAAGUAU